rnacentral:rRNA from 1 species
UUGACCUCGGAUCAGGUAGGACUACCCGCUGAACUUAAGCAUAUCAAUAAGCGGAGGAAAAGAAACCAACAGGGAUUGCCCCAGUAACGGCGAGUGAAGCGGCAACAGCUCAGAUUUGGAAUCUGGCCCCCAGGGCCCGAGUUGUAAUCUGGAGAGGAUGCUUCUGGCGCGGCGCCUUCCGAGUUCCCUGGAACGGGACGCCGGAGAGGGUGAGAGCCCCGUACGGUCGGACGCCUAGCCUCUGUGAAGCUCCUUCGACGAGUCGAGUAGUUUGGGAAUGCUGCUCAAAAUGGGAGGUAAAUUUCUUCUAAAGCUAAAUAUUGGCCAGAGACCGAUAGCGCACAAGUAGAGUGAUCGAAAGAUGAAAAGCACUUUGAAAAGAGG